rnacentral:rRNA from 1 species
ACAUUAAAGCUAGCCUAAUCAAUUAUAUAAACAUAACCCUAUCAAUUACACUUACACCACCAUUAUUAGAUUUAAAACAUUUUAUACUCUUUAGUAUGGGUGACAGAACAACAAA